UUACUACUUGAUAUACACAUGCAAGCAUCCACCCCCCUGUGAAAACGCCCUUAACCCCUAUUAGUGGAGAGGAGCCGGUAUCAGGCACGAAAAUCUGCCCAAAACACCUAGCUUUGCCACACCCCCACGGGAAUUCAGCAGUGAUUAACAUUGAGUAUUAGCGUAAGCUUGACUCAGUUAAAGUAUAAUGCAGCCGGCUAAUCUGGUGCCAGCCGCCGCGGUUACACCACGUGGCUCAAAUUGAUCUCCAUCCGGCGUAAAGCGUGAUUAAAGAAAUUCACUACUAGAGUUAAACUAAAACUGAGCUGUGACACGCCUGUUCAUUAAGAAAUGCAAGAACGAAAGUUACUCUAUCAUAACCAACUUGAACUCACGACAGCUGGGAGACAAACUGGGAUUAGAUACCCCACUAUGCCUAGCCACAAACUUUUAUUUACACCAAUUAAACGCCAGGGAACUACGAGCUAAGCUUAAAACCCAAGGGACUUGACGGUACCCAACAUCCACCUAGAGGAGCCUGUCCUAUAAUCGAUAACCCACGCUAAACCUUACCAUUUCUAGUAAAUCAGCCUGUAUACCUCCGUCGUCAGCUUACCACGUGAGCGUUAAUAAGUAAGCCAAAUGUUACUUCACCAACACGUCAGGUCAAGGUGCAGCAAAUGAAAUGGAAAGAGAUGGGCUACACUUUCUAUUUUAGAAAAAACGAAAAACUACCUAUGAAAUCUAGUUAGAAGGCGGAUUUAGCAGUAAAGAGGAAUCAGCAUGUCCACUUUAACCGGGCACUAGGGUGUGUACACACCGCCCGUCACCCUCCUCAAAAGCUAUAAAUAAAGUUAUUAACAAAUGAAAGCAUAAUAGAAGAGGAAAGUCGUAACAUGGUAAGUAUACCGGAAGGUGUGCUUGGAAA
rnacentral:ncRNA from 1 species